GAUGAAGAACGCAGCAAAAUGCGAUAAGUAAUGUGAAUUGCAGAAUUCAGUGAAUCAUCGAAUCUUUGAACGCACAUUGCGCCCGCCAGUAUUCUGGCGGGCAUGCCUGUUCGAGCGUCAUUUCAACCCUCAAGCACAGCUUGGUGUUGGGACUCGCGUUAAUUCGCGUUCCCCAAAUUGAUUGGCGGUCACGUCGAGCUUCCAUAGCGUAGUAGUAAAACCCUCGUUACUGGUAAUCGUCGCGGCCACGCCGUUAAACCCCCACUUCUGAAUGUUGACCUCGGAUCAGGUAGGAAUACCCGCUGAACUUAAGCAUAUCAAUAAGCGGAGGA
rnacentral:misc_RNA from 1 species